GGGAUGUGGAACCCUCGAGUCAAGGGUCUGCUGAACAAGAAGGCUGACGCCGUCAAGGCGAACAACAAAGCCAACACAGUGACCAGUCCUAAAGACACCAGCC